rnacentral:rRNA from 1 species
UACGUAGGAUGCAAGCGUUGUCCGUAUUUAUUGGGUUUAAAGGGUGCGUAGGCGGCCUAUUAAGUUAGUGGUGAAAACGUUCGGCUUAACCGGAUACCCGCCAUUGAUACUGAUAGACUUGAGUGCGACAGAGGGUGUUGGAAUGUGUGGUGUAGCGGUGAAAUGCUUAGAGAUCACGUAGAACACCAAUUGCGAAGGCAGAUGCCUAUGUCGUAACUGACGAUGAGGCACGAAAGCGUGGGGAGCAAACAGG